CAGUAGCCACGGGAAUACGUAGGGUGCGAGCGUUAAUCGGAAUUACUGGGCGUAGAGCGUGCGCAGGCGGUUUUGUAAGACAGGCGUGAAAUCCCCGGGCUCAACCUGGGAAUGGCGCUUGUGACUGCAAAGCUAGAGUGCGGCAGAGGGGGAUGGAAUUCCGCGUGUAGCAGUGAAAUGCGUAGAUAUGCGGAGGAACACCGAUGGCGAAGGCAAUCCCCUGGGCCUGCACUGACGCUCAUGCACGAAAGCGUGGGGGGCAAACAGGAUUAGAUACCCGGGUAGUCCCUGUCUCUUAUAA
rnacentral:rRNA from 1 species